AUCUUAUUUCUCUUCUCUUCCGGCUUCUCCCCAACGCACCCCCUCACUCUUCUUCUCUUUUCCUUUUCCUUCUCUUUUCUUCCUUCUCCCUCCUCUGUUCUCUGUAGCCGCACACAUCAGCCCCUCCCUAUUUCUCUCCUCCCCUUCUUCUCACAAGUUGAGAGAGAGUAGACCGAGACUGAGAGAGUGAGACACGGAGAUGGAGAGGAGUGAUCGGAGCCCGAUCCUCCGAUGGGUGGCGCCGACGAGACCAGAGGACGCCGGCAACGCGAUCUCCGGUGAGCCCGUGAACCAGAGAUGACCCGAGAGAGAGAGAACCCGAAAACCCGUAGAACCCGUGACCUACGACCCGUGAGGACCCGAUCCUCCAUGAUCGGCAACUGGGACUGAAAUCCGGCGAUGGAAGAGCUUUGGCGGAAUCCAGGAGCUUGAACCCGCGACCCGUGAGCCCAAAAAAUCUGAGAACCCGUGACCGUGACCCGCAACCCGCCAGACCCGAGAAGAAGACCCGGUUCUUCAAAGUGAUUUCCGGCGACUUUUUCGGCGGAAUCAGUGGCGUUUUUCGGUGGAUUUGCUAUGAAAAUCCUUGGGAUGAUGUUUCUUUGGCUGCAGGUACUUCGGUAUAGUUGAUGGGUUGGUAGCAGUGUGCUUGGGAUAUUAUGACUGAAGCUCGCCGCGACAGUUGUAAUCGUCGGACCAUGGGUUGUCCACUAUUUUAUAGGUUUGGUAUGGCUUGUGACGUUUGUGUCACUUAUUCUUUGUUAAGCCAUUAUUGUUAUAGUGUUAAUAAGACUCAAACAGAUAGAUGUUAAAUGGCUCUUUGUUGUAAUUAAUUUGUGAUAGAUGUAUAAGUUGUAAUUUCCGCUAUUCA